rnacentral:tRNA from 1 species
UCUUUGCUAGUAUAUCGGUUAGUACACGCGCCUGUCACUAGAUUGCCGCGCGAAAGCUGGGUUCGACUCCCAGGCAGAGAG